rnacentral:rRNA from 1 species
CCCUUAGAUGUUCUGGGCCGCACGCGCGCUACAAUGAUUGUCUCAGCAUGUUUUGGGUGUGUAAAUACCCAGGAAUUCCGAGUAACAAUCGUGAUGGGGCUAGACCCUUGCAAUUUUUGGUCUCCAACGAGGAAUUCCUAGUAAAGGCAGGUCAUUAACCUGCCUUGAUUACGUCCCUGCCCUUUGUACACACCGCCCGUCGCACCUACCGAUUGAAUGGUCCGGUAAAAUCUCCAGACGUGGUUUUACCAUGAAAGCUGAUUGAAUCUUAUCAUUUAGAGGAAGGUGAAGUCGUAACA